GCGAGCUCCGGUCCAGUCCAUGCCCGCGCACUGGCAGUGGCAUGUGGUCUCGGCGCGCACGUCCCACGAGCCACAGGCGGAGCCACAGGAGGAAGACAGACACCAAGAAAGAGCUCAAUUGGCCUCACACUCCACCACUCAUCUCUGCCCCAGAGGAGAGGAACUGAAUUCUGGGAAAACUUCUGGCAGAAGAAUGUGGCCCCCGGUGGAAGAUUCCAGGGAGGUUUUAUGGAGGAAGAGAUGGCUGAGCGGAAGGUGGAGGAUAUCAACUUGCUGUCCUGUUGACAGACGAGAUGACAGGGGGCUCGGCCGAAUCAGGAAUCAUUUGCUUCCUGUUCCACAUCAACGACAGAAAAGAAAAGCAAGAGCCCUGGAACCCUGCCCGCUUUCUUAAGCAAGAGCUGGUGAGCCUGGCUUCAUUUAGAAACGCUUCUGACCCAGGGGGUCGGGGUGGGGGGUCCUGUCUGGCAGAAGGGGAGUCUGAGCAGCUAACUACCAGCUGCAGAGGUGGGGAGAUGACAGGCAAGACCUGAGGGGGCCAGGUUGUGCCUUGGGGCAAGGAACAGUGAGAGCCUGAAUGUUGGGUGGUAAAGAGCAUGGAGAUUUCCAGUGUUAACCACCUGAGAUUCUCCUUUGCAGUAGACCCACUCUCGUCUCUAGGUGUGCCUGGGUUCCUUGAGCCUCUGGACCCCUUACAGAAUAUCUUUCACUUGGCGGCUCCUUGGGGUGCCCUGAGAUGAUCACAUCUACUGUUUGUUGAGCAAUUUAUACAUAUGACCACCAGCCGGUCAGGUAGAGAUGAUUAUUAUCUACAAGAGGAGCUGCUGAGGCCCAGAGAGGCUAAAUGACUUGUCUGGGGUCACACAGCAAGUUGGUGGAGGAGCUGGGAUUUCAACCCUGAUGGUGUGUCUCAAGGAUCUGCACCUUUCAGCCCCAAGAAGUGUGUGUAUGUGGGGGGCACUCCCUGGAUGACCACAGCACUGUCCCAGCUUUAAAAAAUAAGAAGAAAGAAAAAGAAUAAAAGCAACAUUGUUUUGAGAAUA